rnacentral:rRNA from 1 species
UACGGGAGGCAGCAGUGGGGAAUAUUGCACAAUGCAGGAAACCCUAAUGCAGCACAUGCCGCGUGUGUGAAGAAGCCCUUCCGCUUGUAAAGCGCUUUCAGCGUGGAGGAAAGGAAUCU